rnacentral:tRNA from 1 species
UUUAAUGAGGUGUUAUUGCAUGUUACAUUUUGGUUGUAAAGGUAGAUAGUUUCUCAUUAUUU